rnacentral:rRNA from 1 species
UACGUAGGGUGCAAGCGUUAAUCGGAAUUAUUGGGCGUAAAGCGUGCGCAGGCGGUGAUGUAAGUCAGUUGUGAAAUCCCCGGGCUCAACCUGGGAACUGCAUCUGUGACUGCAUUGCUGGAGUGCGGCAGAGGGGGAUGGAAUUCCGCGUGUAGCAGUGAAAUGCGUAGAUAUGCGGAGGAACACCGAUGGCGAAGGCAAUCCCCUGGGCCUGCACUGACGCUCAUGCACGAAAGCGUGGGGAGCAAACAGG